rnacentral:lncRNA from 10 species
CAAGCCACAUGGGGAGACCACAUGGAGAACUAACUUGCCUCUGUCAAUCCCAUAUGAUCUCCCUGCCAAGUGCCAGCAUCAAAUGCCAACCAUGCUCCAGUGUGACUCAGCACAGUGUUCACAGCCCAUGCUCUCAAGAAUCUCAGCUUAGGAGGAGGCAAAGAGGUGCUUUGGGAAUGGAAUUAAAUGAGCUGAUUCAUGUAAAGGGAUUUAACUGGGUGCCGGACCUGUCAUAAACUCUUAACGUGAACAGGAGAGUUACUGUAAAAACUGAGACAACAAAACAGCCGGAGGCAUGAAAAGAAAAAGAAUCCCGCAUGAAUAGCUUGCUAUAUGUAAUUUGGUUAGGAACAAUUCACAGGUUUUGACAGCUUUAUUAGAGUUCCAUUUUAGUAAGAUUCAGGUGAAAGUGAGGUCAUCACUUUAAAACAAAAAUCCUGAGAACAUACCCAGAUGGACUCACAUAAAUGAUGUAUACUAAUG